GCAAUAGAAAGUUUGGUCAUGAGAAAAAAAGAUUUAUAGAUGAGAGGAAUAAAAGCAUUUUGUAAGCUAAUGGGGAUGAAUCAACAGGGACAGAAAAGUGGAUGAUAAUGGAAAGCGGAGGGAAAAGGUCUUCUGCUCCUUGUGUGGCUGUUUGAAGACUCAGAUGAUAGAAGAACGUAAGAGCCAUUUUAUUAGCUACGAGGGAGAGAUAAAAUGCGCAUUGUGAAACCACAGUAAGUAAAGGGAAUCUAAUUGUACAAGUGUGGGACUGGAAAACCAAACCUACACUAUGUUCAAAUACGAAUAAAUUUGCUGAUUUCAUAGUAUGUCACACUUAAGUGUAGCAACUUGAGUUCUAUCUUAAAGAUUGUAAGUAUAUUGUUAUAUCAGUGUCUUAUUUAUCUAGAUGUUUGGGGAGUAGUGUGUUUUGGCUGAGAGAACUGUGCUGUUCAACUAAAGUGGGUGAUAUAAAAUAUACAUAACCCUAAAACUGCAUAAAGUAGACUCAAGUCUUGAUUUAAACCCUGCUUAAAGUUGCAAGGAGUCUAAUGGUUAAUGUCACAGACACUGUAAACUAUUGAGGGAGUGUAUGUAAGGGAUAGAUUCAUUUUUUAACUAACUCUUUUAUAUUUAUCUGUAAAGGGCCAGAUCAUUUUAGAUUUAACUAAAGAUUUAAUUUAAGACAUAUGAUUUAAUAACUCUACCUUUCUAGUUAGAAAGGAACCACAGAGAAGGGAGAAAUUGGGGAUUUGUCAAAUUGCAUAAAUUCAUACCCAGAUUUUUUUCAUAGACAAUACAUAAAUGAACGAGCAUGUUCCAAUAAAGUUUAAUUUAAAAACCUGGAAUAAGGGCUGGAUUUGACCAUGAGCAGUUGUCUGCUAACCUAUUUAUCCAGUAUGAUUUGCUUUUUUAAACAAACCUUAAUAUUGGAUAACACAACAUUGUGGUUAGGCUUUAGAGCCUUGGAUGUAAUUUUUUUUUGAAACUGCACAUAACAUGACUUAAGUGAACCCCUGACAUAUUGUUGAAAUAUUAAGUUGUCAGGUCCUGAAGUUAGUCAAAGGUGGUUUGAGAUGAUUUCUUCACAUCAUCUAAUCCCUUUAAGCCUUGAUUUCCUCAUCUGUAAGAGGGAGAAUAACACCUAUUAUACAAGGUAGUUGUGAGAGGUCAUGAAUUAUUGUUUUAAAGAGUGUAUUUAACUACUCUAAGAUUUCAUCUCUCUCCAGUCAGAAUGGCAGCUAUUAAGAAUACAAAUAACAAUAAGUGUUGGUAAAGAUGUGGGGGAAAAGGCACACUCAUACAUUGCUGGUGGGACUUCGAAUCAGUGCAGCCAAUAUGGAAAGCAGUAUGGAGAUUCCUUAGAAAACUGGGAAAGAACCACCAUUUAACCCAGAUAUCCUGCUCUUUGGUCUAUACCCAAAGGACUUAAAAACAGCACACUACAGGGACCAGCCACAUCAAUGUUUAUAGCAUCACAAUUCACUAUAGCUAAACUGUGGAACCAACCUAGAUGCCCUUCAGUAGAUGAAUGGAAAAAAGAAAAUGUGGUAUGUAUACACAAUGGAAUAUUAUUCAGCAUUAAAAGAGAAUAAAAUCAUGGCAUUUGCAGGUAAAUGGAUGGAGCUGGAAAAUAUGAUGCUAAGUGAAAUUAGCCAAUCCCCAAAAAACCAAAUUCUGAAUGAUUUCUCUGACUUAAGGUUGCUGAUUUAGAAUCUGCUGUGGGAUGGGGGAUGGGAGGAUUAAAUGAACUCUAGGUAGAGCAAAGGGGAAAGGGGGAGGGAGUGGAAGGGAGGGAGCAUAGGGGUAGGAAAGACUGUGGGAUGUGAUAGUCAUCAUUACCCAAAGUACAUGUACGAAGACACAAAGGAUGUGGCUCUAUUUGUGUACAACCAGAGAUAUGAAAAAUUGUGCUCUAUAUGUUUAAUAUGAAUUGUAAUGCAUUCUGUUGACAUAUAUAACAAAAUGUAAAAAAUAAAGAGUAUAAUAGUAAUAGUAGUAUUUAGUAAUAGAAGCUAGUUUCCUAGUCUUGUGGCUCUUUGUCAUAAAUGUCAAGCAUGGAAUUUUCCACUUGGCUUUCUGCUUCUGCUACUGGGAUGCUGUAUGAGUGAGGCUUUGCUCGAAGUUGCUUAGAUGAGAAGCCGUGAAUCGCCGCUGGCUUCACCUCCCCAGCCUCUUGGUUCUAGGUUGACCAAGUGAUUCUGUCUCCAGGAGAAAGUCUCUAACAGAUAGUAGGAGCCUCUGCGAGACAGUUUAAUUGGUUGCAGGUCUUUGAUUCAUUAGUAUGAAAACAACUGAAAUUGAAAGAUUCCUGAUCCCCAGUCUUUGUGGGAACCACCGUGCAGGGUGUGGCCAGGCAAGAUGGAACCAUGUGAGGCAAGGUCUUCUGUGAAAACGUGAUACUGGCUCUUGCUCUCGUCACACUUGGGUCUGUCAGGAUAUAAAAACUAGCCAAAUAGAUUUUCACUUUCUCGUAUUCUGGAGAAUGGCUGGAGAUUCCCUGAGCCACACUCUGCCCAGGACCUGUGUCACUGUAAUUGGUUCCCAUGCAGUGGGGCAGGGGAGCCACACCUGUGGCCAACACAAUCCCACCAACUGAUAGAGGCCCCAGGGAGAAUCCGUCCCAAAUAAUGGAGAAGAUACAACUUGCCUCCUGUCCCUAUGAAGGAUACCUACCCCUUCAACUCUGGGAGUCAGUGAGUCAAGGAUACUGAGUCAUUGAGUCAGAGAGUCAGUGGUGACCUCCCUGAUCUGCUGGGCAAACAUGACUUAAAAGUGGAAGAUGCAUAAUUCAAGUGCAGUGGUACGCCCUGUAAUCUCAGCAACUCAUGAGGCUGAGGCAGGAGGAUCACAAGUUUGAGGCCAACCUCAGCAUUUUAGUGAAAGCCUGUCUCCAAGUAAAAACUAAAAACAUCUGGGGGAUAGCUCAGAGGUAAAGUGCCCAUGGGUUAAAUUCUUGCCGUAAAUAAAUAAAUAAAAUUAAAUAAAAAUGGAAGUCACCAUCACUUUUGGCAAGAAUGCAAUUCUUAGAAGAAGUUUGAUAAGAAAUGCUAGUUUCCUUUCCAUGUUUCAGAGGAGGAAACUGAACCACAGAGAUGAAACCAAGUUAAAAAUCCUCCCAGGUGAUCUUGUGCUCAAGUUAUCCCUGACAGUGCAUUAUGGUGGCUUGUCUGUCAAAGUGGGUCACUUGCUUCCUCUUGAAUUACAGAUGUAUUAAAAUUGCUUGUUCUUUUUUUUUUAAAUUUUUUAUUUGUGUCCAAAGGUUUAUCCCAGCACCUGGUGUCUAGUAGGGUUCUAUCAUCUUUUGCGUAAUGCUGCAAAAAUAAAUCCAUCAAUGACCAUCAAGUAAGAGGAUUGUGCAAGAAAGAAAAGAGAGGAAAUGCAGUGGUAGACCCUGUAUUUUAUUUCAGUCGUAUUCAUUGGUCUUCUAUCCUCCCCACAGCAAUCCCCUCCCCCCACCAAAAAGUAAAAUAAAUGAAGUUGCAAGGUGGCAAAGAUGACAAGAAUGCAGGCCAAUAGAGGUGGGAGAAGAGACCCACGAGGCCUUUGGUAUUGCUCUUGCCUCCUUAAUUCUGUUCCUCAAGUCCCGACCCCGUCUAAGGCAAUGAGCAGAGACAUCACUGCAUCUCCCUCUGGCUGUUACUUAUCUAGAUGGGUGGUAAGUCCACUGGGCAGAGGUCGGGUCUACAUUCAAAAGUCUUUUGAAAAUAUUUUCUUUAGAGGCCAAUCCUUGUUCACAGACCCAACCCACCAGACAAAAGAAUGUGGAUUCUGUAGGCACCAUCCCCUGUGCUCAGGUUAAAUGUCCCGUCCUCAUGCCAGACCACAUACAGCAGAGGCUUCCUGGAAAUUGGGCAGCACUGAAGUGACCUCGAGUCAGGGUUGCCUUGGAGACCACUGCAGUGUAUUGGAACCAGCCGCGGGGCUGCGUGUCUGCCUCUGCCGACCUCGUGGAAGGGAAGGAAGGGCCAGGUCAGGAGGCUCGGAAGGGCCGAUGCUGCGUGGUGUGUUGAUUUGGGCACAUUUGUUUACACAUGCCGCUUCCUUUCUUGGCGUUCCAUUUCCCAACCAAAUGUUCUCCUUUUCUAAAUUGUAGCUCUGUCGCUGCUGUUCUCAGAGAAGGCUUGUUUGGUGCCAAACGGGAGAGGUGACUGGGAUAAAGCCCUUAGAUCUGGACCCCCUAACUCUCCAUCAGUGAGCUGGACAUCACGGGGGCGACCAGAUGCCCACAACAGAAUGAGGCUGGGCUUCCUUUGAGGUAAAGCCAAGACUCGGAUCCCCUGCUCUUUUCCCUCUAUAACAUUGAGAAAGAAUUUAGUCUCAGGAUUAAGAUGAUGCUCUUGGAUCUACCAAAACUCAGAUGAAAUUUGGAAUUUUCACCCUAGCUAAUUGCAACAUGGGCUCCUUAGGUGCUUAUUGUUUAUUCCUAAAGGACAGGGAGCUUGCUAUUGACCAGGUAGUAAGGAACAUUUAAAGGCCUUAAACCUUAUUUUUCCUGCAAGGGAAGCAUUUGUCAGCCUCCCAGAUAUGAUUCCUCAAAGGCACAUUCUUUCAUUCUUCUCUCCCUACAGGCAUAAACAUUCAGCAUUUUAAACUUGAAACACACAAUGUUAUCUACUUCUGGUGUCUUAUGUAACUUUUCAGGAAUGUUGAAAGACUUUCCGGGCUCCGUGAGGUUGGGAAUGGAGAAAGGAGAGAAGGGGGCUGGGCUGUGAUGGUGGGGAGUUGGAGGGGGCAGGAAAGGACCCAAGUUCUUUCCAUACAUCACUCCAUCGGCUGUUUGUGACAUGAAGUUAUUGCAAUUAAGAUACAAGCCGGAUGUGUGGGCUAAAAAAUCUCAGCUGAUAUCACAAGCAUUUAUUGAUAAUGAAAACUUGGAGGAAGAAAUCUGGAAAACUGUUGUCUUUAGCCAUUUCCUAUGAAGAGGACAAACCAUAUGGAUUCAUCAAAAAAAAAUUGCUCCAUCUUAUCUAAGAAAAGAGAAAACUGUUUAUUUUGCUGCAAAAGGAAUGUUUCUGUCAAGUUUUAAGUGUCAAUCUUCUAGGUUAGGGCUUUCCACAUGGCACACUCCACCACAUUGUCUUGCUUUAAACAAUCCUUUUGGAGUGGCUCCAUAAAACCUGGCAAACAGCCGCAGUUACAAGAGGGAAACAUUCAGAGUUCAGAAUCCAGAGAUCUUUGAUUGCAUGGGCCUCUGUAACCCAAUUAAACCCGAAUUAGUCUAUCAGGAUAGGUAAAUAUCCCUCCAGGCCUAAUGCAGUAAAAUGGAUUUAAUUUGAGAAUAUUCUGCUUUCAAGCAAGACAUAAUCAGGGAAAAGUCUAAAAAAAAUGUUCUGAAAUAUUUUUUGCAAGUACCUGGUAAAUUAAUGGGAAUAAUUAGCAAAAGUCACAACCCUCAAGAGGCUAGAUUAGAAGGAAAAUUUAAGAAUAGAGUAUCUUAGAUAAAUGCUAAACAGAGAACACAGAAGUCUGGAAAUAUUAGUAUCAGACACAGAAGAAAUACAAGAAGAGUAAAGAAAGGACACGCAGCUUCUAGAAAGUUAAGCUUCGAGAUCUUUUACUGAAAAACCACAAAAAGCAAAAGAUGAACUUUCAUAAUCGUACAUUCUGCACAUCUUCUUUGCACUUUGAAAACGACCACAGUUCAGAAUUUUGUUGAAUGAGCACAUCGGCAUGUUUACUAUAACAUCUAUAAUGUGAAUUAAAAUGUCAGGUGACUACUUCUUACCAAUAGAAUGAAAGAUGGAGGAGAGGUCUCCUUUCUGAACCCUUAUCUUCAAGAGAAGAUAGGCCUGCUGGGUUAUUGAAUCAAUAUUCUUAUGGACUCAGGAUUAUGUAAAGGGAGAAAUAGCUCAGGAUUAUUAUCAAUAACUAAACAGUCCUAAUCUAGUCUGCAUCAUUUUAUGUACCUAUGGAAGCACCCAGCUAACUUGUCUGGGUCGGAAUAAAUCUGAAAUUGCAAUAAGAAUUUAGAUUGUUUCUGGAAGACCUUCCAGUAAAAGCUGAGGGCCAGAAAAUUCAAAUGGGUGGUCCCAAUUCUACAGAUUUAGGUAAGUAAAUAUUCUUGUUGCAAAGUGGCCCAUGGUGAAUUUACCUGGGCCCAUAGGAGUUGAGGCUCAUAGCUAACGGAAACAAGCUGCAAAGCUCCCUCCAACUCUGAAGAAGUCCUUAUGCAAAACAUCCGUUGGAGAAGGCCCAUUUUGAUGAUCUACUCAUUGCCAAAGGUAGAAAGGUCUGCCUUAGCCUUGAUUUUCCUCUACCCAUCAUAGAGUCCUAAUCCAGCAACUAGUUCCAAUCUUCUGCUUGGGCCCAGUUGACCAGUCUGUGUGUGGAAUAGAUUCACGUGAAGAAAAUAACUUCUUAGAUAUAAAGGGCUUCCUGUGCUCUGAAGACCAAUGAAGAGGCCCAGUGACUGGGGCCCUGGACUUGGUUCAGUGAAUCCCUAUGGGGACCUCUGAUUCCCUGGCAACAGCAGCUCUGCAGUCACAAACCCCGAAUUCUCUUGAAUUGUUCAGAGAACACAGGAGUGACCAUGGAGGGGUUUUUAUGUGGCAUGCUCAUGGAAUCUUCCACUAGUUUUCCUCUUAUAGAGCGAGAACAUGGAGAUUUAUAACAUUUUCCAGAUUUGUGAAUGAUGCCCGGUUUAAGGGCUCAUAGUUCAAAUGUGUCAGCUCUAUUACUGCUAGAAUGUCUCAUAGAGAGUUCUUAUGGAAGUUUCCAAAAACAAAUUAACCAUAAAAUGAGUGUGGCCCUUAGCACUGAGUCACUUAUUGUGUGUAUAUGCACACCUACCUACAUUUAUUUUCUUUGGAAAAAUUGAUAGAAGAUCCUGGAGAUGCUCUUUUUUUUUUAAAAUACAAUUUCCAGAGAAGGAACAGAUACCAAUAAAACAUCAUUCCUCGGUUUUCCGCACCCAGCUUAUUCCCUAUUGGCCCAGGGCAACAACUUGAAAUUACACCUGUUUCAUAUGCUUUUCUUGCCAUCUCUAACCAUUAGUCUGGGGGAAAUUUCAUGAUCCUAUUUUUAAUGUAUUCUAUGUGGAGUUCAUUAUACCUGUGGUUAGUUUUCUAUUGCAUCUCAGGAUAUCAACAUUCAAAGCAAAUUUAGAGACUGUCUGCUCCAGGUUUAUAACCCAGCUCAGGCAGAGGAGGCUCCUCUACCACCCAUCAUUCAGGAGAGACAGACCUUGGAUCAUGGCGCCUCCCAGCACAGGGACUCUCCUCCUACUUUAAGCAACUCUAAUUCGAGAGGAUUGCCUUACACCAAAGUUUAGUUCUCUGGAGUGGCACAGAAUAAGUGGCCUCUGUUCCUGAGUAAAUUUUUAACUUGAAGACAGAUAUUGUGGACCAUGCUCUCACUCCUCCCCAUGGAUUAUGCAAUCUCUUGGCAGGAGUUUCUGAUAAACACCGGACAGGGUCAAUUCUAGGCGAAGGUGGCACAAAUGUAUCCUUGCUACCAUUUUUAUUCAUUAUAUCUAGUGUUACUGCAGAAAAUUCUCUCUCUCAGAUUAGGACAACGGGGACAAACUAAAUCAUUCUUCUUUUUCUAAUGCAAAGAGACAAACACCACCCCAUCUCUCAAGGGUCUGUGUGCUAGCUUCUCCUGGAAGUGACAGCCCUGAUGUAAUAACUGUCAGUACUUUUCAGAAAUUGGGCUGAAUAACCCCAGAGGGCUGUGGACUCCCAAGAUGCAAUUCAAAACCACUGUAUUAGUAAUGGCAUCCUUAAGACAAAAUGUGACAACACCUGUAACAGAAAUUUACCCUUUAUAUCCCCCACAGCAGUAGCUCAGUCCUAGGUAAAUCUUAUAGGGCUCAGGGAUCAUUGUCAAGAGGGUCUCUAGAGAUAUGGGUGUCACACAGAGACCCGCCAUAUUGCAUGAGCAUUUGUUUAUUUAUAUUGUGAAACGAAAUCCUCCUUAGUAAUACUUAUUAGGGAAGAUAUAUGUGGAGGGCUGUGCUCUUGCUUCUUUCUGACCACAGGGAUCUAUUGGUAUUUCUAGCACUGAGUUUACUUGUCAAGAAGGCAGAUCCAAAUAUCUCAAGAUGAAAAAUGUCACCUCCAUCCCAUCCCACCCAAUUUUCUCCUCUGGGUCGUAUGUUGACAUCACCUUUGGAAGUGACAAGUCCUCUUGUCAAGGACUUAGUGGGGAGUAUUAUCUUUCUCCUCUACUGGCCUGUCAGCAUCUUAAGAGCAAGAACCCCACCAUGAGGGCAGCACCCCAACCUCUCACAUACAUAGGUACCAUUGCUGUAUUCCUCAAAUUUCCUUUCAAAGACCAGCAGCUUUCUCUGUUUUCAAGCAGAGGAUUCCACAGUCCUCUGGGGCCUUGAAAAAAAGGGACCCUUCAAGCUGGCAGGGAUAGGACGAUUGGAACAGACUCUAGCAUUUCUGGAAGGGAGAUGGUACAGAAUGUUCUUGGGUAUUUAAAGAGAUGCUUACAGAAAUCAGUGUACCACAAACAGGUAAAUGACUAAGGCCAAAUAAAGUAAUUUCAUGAUUUUAAUAUAUAUUGCAGAAAACUUUGACUAACAAAAUGUUAAGAUGUAAGAUGCUUAAUGACAUUCUAAUAGUUUCAUUUAAGGAAAUAUGUAGUUUGACAAUGCCUCUAAAUGAGCAAACAUUACUCUUCUCUAUUUAAAAUAGAUCAGGAAAGAGAAAAAGAGAAAUAUUGAUAUUUAUAAAACAUGACACUCUGAAAUGCAAAUAUUUUGCAUUAAAAAUCUGUACUUUUAAAGUAUAGGUCUAAUGAUGAAUCCAAGGGUCCAAAGUAUGAGAAUGAACACACUCGCUAAAGUAGAUCAGAAAAACCAAAACCUCAGAUGGAUAUCCAAGAGUGAAUCUGCUCCCUUUCUGUCUAGUCUGGGCCUAAAUCCAACCCAAACAAAUGUAAUCUGGAAAAGCUCUGCUCUGGAAGACCCAGCUUGAGUUUCCCUUUGGAGAAGUCCUGAAUCAAAGACCAUGGGGGGUUUGGUGGUCACUUAAAAAGCAGAUCUCACUGGUGUGGCCUCUCCAUCCUAUACGCAUCAGAUGUGCCCAUAGAAUUCUAAUGACAAUUUCACUGGGCAGCCCCAACAGAAAACCCCUUGUCCAACGUUGCUUCCAGAAGCGAACUCAAUGCAGGCGACAGGGAGCAGCUUCUAGGAAACUUGACCAGUGCUGUACUUAGAUCUGUUCCUGAACCAUGGACUCCCUAAGGAACAUAGGAACACACAUGUGCAUGCAGAACAGCAUCCAUCCCGAUUCAUGUUCAAAGCAGACAACAGCACAUAAGGCAAGACACUAUCUGGUAUAAGAGUCUUUAUUUUAUUUUUUGCAGAUGCCUGUUUCUGAUGAUGUCAUUAUUUCUACUUUUAUUGAACAUUAAUCUCUAAUACAAUUUAAGAGAAAUAAAGCUCUUUUUUUCUAUUCAGGAACUUGAUAUAUAAACUUAUUUUUAUCCAAAAAAAAGAAGAAAAAUAGGAUGCAUUCAUUUAAAGAAAUCUUCAUAAUGAUUUUGGGCUAAGAGUUCAGAGAGAAAUCAUUUUUGAUAGAUUUAUAAAUAGACAGGAUCACGUACCUCAGUUUGGUUUCUGAGGGCAGCAGACUCCCCUACCAAAUUCAUGAUUACAAGAGACAAGCUACAAAGAAAUCUUAAGCAAGUAUUCUUAUUUUGUGGAGUUGUGGUUAUUUAUUUAGACGUUAACCUCUGCCCUAUGGUCUUCCCAGGAGAGUUGUGAAUAUCAAAUUUGAUGAUACAUGAAAAGUACCUUUGCAAAUUAAAAGGGCUAUAAAAUGGAAUGGGCGGUUAUAAAUAGAAGUUUCUUGGUCACUGACCAUCAAUUUUAGGUUUCAUAAAACCGAAGUUUACAACAAAUCCAAAUCUAAGUAGCAAUCUUCCAAAUCCACUUUCAGAAUGAUCUUGAGAUGACUUUCAAGUUUUUUUCAUAUGGAAACUUAUUGAAGAAAAGAAAUAAUUCUAUUAUAUUAUUUUCUGCCAUCUUUAUCCCAGAAAAGAAGUUAGAACAUUUUGCAAGCUGGGUCCGUUCAAAAUUCCCUAGUGGCUAGCCGCCAAAAUUGGAUGUAUGUAGGCCAAAUUCUUUAAGAAUGAUAUUAAGAAGUGUGAAUUUUUCAACCCAGUCCUCUCUCCGUUUGUAAUAAAUUCAGAAAUAUUUUAAUUUCACAGAAUCAACUUCCUCAUAAGUUUUCAGGAAAUCCACAUUAAGCAUUAUCUCCUUGACUUAGGGGAAGGGAAAUGAGGCAUAUUCUGCCAAUAGAUAGUUACACAAUAAAAAAGCAAUUUAAAAAACAAAACAAAACAAGGUAUUAGGAAGCAGGGGGAAAUAUGGGUUUCCAGAUGUCUUGAGAAUGUAGUGGCAUAAAAUGUGGGAAAUAUUUUUUCCUAGGACAUUUUAAAAUUUUUACAGUAAUUUCAGCUUUAAGGAAAAAUUGAGCAGAAAGUCCAGGAGUUCCCAUGUAUCUCCUUUAUUAUUAACAUUUUGCAUCAUUAAAUUAUUAAAGUAAAUAAGCCACCAUUAAUUUGGUUAAUAACAAAAUCUAUGGUGUACAUUAAUUAGGGUUCACACUUUGUGUGUAUUCUCUGCGGUUUUUUAAAAAAUAUUAUUUUAGUUGUCAAUGGACCUUUAUUUUGCUUAUUUAUAGGCGGUGCUGAGACCCGAACCCAGUGUCUCACACAUGAUAGGCAAGCGCUCUACCACUGAGCCACAACCCCAACCCUAUUAUCUGGGUUUUAACAUCUGUAUGAUUGCUUAUUGCUUUUUAAUGCCAAAAAUGUUUCAUUAUUUGAAUGUACUAUACUUGUUUUCUCAAUUACCUACUAAAGAACAUGUCCUCAUCGUAACAAUCUCCCAAAAAGUAGCUUCACUACCCUAAAAAUUAUCCAGGCCCCACCCAUACAGCCCUCUCUCCACUGAACCCCUGACAACCACUGAUCUAUUUAAUGUCUCCUUAGUUUUGCCAUUUCUAGAAUAUCGUACAGCAUAUAUCGAUAGCAUGUAACCUUUUCAGAUCUUCUCCUUUCGAGUAGCAGCACUGAUUUAAGAUUUCUUAUGUCUUUUUAUGGCUUGAUCGCUUAUUGCUUUUUUAAUGCCAAAAAUGUUUCAUUGUUUGAAUGUAGUAUAUUUGUUUUCUCAUUUACCUACUAAAGGACAUCUUCAUUGCUUCAGAUUAUUAGCAAUUAUAAAUAAAGCUUCCACAAACAUUUAUGUGCAGGUUUUUAAUGUGGACAUAAAUUUUCAACUCAUUUUGUUAAUACCUGGGAGUGUGAUUGUUGGGUUGUAUGGUAAGACUAUGUUUAGCUCCGGAAGAGACCGUAAACUGUCUGCCAAAGUGGUUGUCUGAGGGACAUCUUUUAAAAUACUUUGGGAAGCAGCAAAGAGGCAUAUAUUGCAUGUUAUAAAUUCAACUCAUCAUUCGCAUGUUGCAGGAUAUUAAAGAUAAAUUAGGUAAUAGACAAGAAUGUAUUUUUUGUUUUUGUUUUUGCUUAUGGGAAAGCCUAAUCCUAUUCACACCUGAUGAAGAGAAAAAUACACAUGAAUUCAUUGCCUGACCCUCAUAAUAAACAACACCACCAUCUUAGAUCUAACUAACCCUGAAAUGGGCCUGCAUGUGUGCCCAAGAUGAGUGACUCCAUUUGCAAAUGCUAUUCCCUCCCACCUUUAUUGUUAUCUUACCUCACCUUCCUUCCUGAGCCUCAGUGUCCUUUAGCCUGAGAAAAGCCUCUUGCCACUCUCAUGGUUUAGCACCAUCUCUGUCAAAGAGCCACUGAAACACAAGAGAACACUCUAUAUACUUCUAUGAGGUAGGCAGAUUAGCUGGAGCCAAGUUGGAAUGCAAGAUGGGGAAGACAGGAGUAGGAAGCUGCUGCUAACCUGGACUCCACCACCCAUCUCCUUCCCCAUUCCAGAAAGAGGCUGGCUGUCUCUGUAGGUUAAUGUGCACACAUCAAGGUUCCAAGGCCUGCAGGGACCACGAACUGCUCCGAGGGUCAGUUGAUGAUUAUAUGACCUUCCACCCACAAAACUAGGCCAGAAAGGGGAAAAUGAGAUGCAUGCCCUUAAUUUCAACACCGUGCAGGUGUAAAACUCCCCCCAAACAGGUAACUGCUACACAAAGUGCUGGCAUGGCUAUCUGUGACUUGGGGUUUCUGGAUACUAUAAGCCCCACCUACGUCCUAACAAAAAACAAACAAAAACAAAAGGACUUGAUGUGGUGCACUUAGUCUCCCUACCCUUCUGCCUACUCUCUCCAGGGUGUAUCUCCCUUUCUCUUCACUUUCCCUCACCUCACAAUACACCUGCCUUAAAUGCUGCCCAUCUGCCAUGUCGCACACGCUGUGUCUUGUCUGGGGAAUUGUCUGACCUUAGACAAAUCCUAUCCACAGAGGGAGAAAUAAAUCAUGACUCUCCACAGUAGAUUCUCAACCUCCAAUAAUACUUUCUCUGUCCGUGGGCUGGAUCUAUGUCCUUGACCUAAGGCAAAAUCACUCACAGGGCUGUUCCCAUUGUUGUUGCUGGGGGGUGGGGGUGUCAACCUUUUGGGUUGUCACAGUAGGUAGGGACUUUCACUGCCUUCUCCAAUCACCAAUGACCUUGAUGUCCAACUUUACAGAAAGUGUACAACUUUACAGAUAAGUGUCUUAUCUACAGAAGACACAUCCCAAGAUGUCCUGUGAAUGUCUGAAGCUGUAGCCCUUACUGAACCCAAACAUGCACUGUGUUUUUCCUAUAAAUUUAUACCUAUGAUAAAGUUUAAUUGAUAAACUAAGCACAGUAAGAUAUUAACAAUGACUACUAAUAAAACAGAACAGUGUAACAGUAUACUGUAAUAAAAGUUAUCUAAAACUUAUGCGCUGUUAUUUCUGGAAUUUUCCAUUCAAUAUUUUCUGACCACGAUUGACUAUAAGUAACUGAAACCCCCAAAGGUGAAACUGCAGAUAAGGUGGGGCUGCUGUUCCUGGAAGUAGAGAUUUCUCCUGCCUGUCUCCUCCCUCCAAAGAAAGGCUUUGUUCUUUAAUUUAUUGACCCUAACCUUGUAGAGUAAUGGCAUAAGUAAGACACGGAGCCAUGAAUUUCACACACACAGAGAGAAACCUGCAAGCAGAAAAGUACAAAACCAUGUGUUAAGUAGGAUACUGGAUUAAAACGUUCUCAGACUGCAGAGAGGGGCAGAGAGCUCAUCUGGCGGUGGGUGGGAGGCUCUUUAGCAUGGAAGUUCAGCUAGAUUGAGAAGUCAGUUCUCCUGGUCAACACAGCCGUGCAAUUGCAAUUUUUAAAAGUGCCUGUCUCAGAGGAAGUAGUGAUAUGGAUACAGAAUGGGUUGGGAUGUUCUCUCAAGGUGUCCCACAAGAGGAGAGUUCCAGCGCCACUGGAAGCCACCAAGAUUGGGCAGGAUGCCUCUGCCCAUCCCACUCCACCCUGGGCCUUGAAGUGUGUAUUUGUCUAUGUGUGAAAAUCACUUAUUCUCUAAUUUUUGCUGACAGGUCCUGCUUUCAGUGAAGACCAAGUGUCAGCAUUCCGCACAGCUCAGAAGACAGGGAAAAAAUGACCACUGGCUAGAAAUCCACACUGAAAGAAGAGAACAUGCUUUGUUCUUCAGAGAGCGAACCAAAUCAAUGCCUUAGGUUCCUGGACCAACCAACAUAAGCACCACCAGGGAUGCUGUGAGAAAUGCAAAUCUCCAGCCCCCACCCCCCAGACCUCGUGAAUCAGAAACUCUUGGGUGGGGCCCAGCCAAACAGACUUUAAUGAAUUCUCCAGGAAAAUCAGACCCAGUGAGAGUUCUGGAACCAACACUGUAGACAACAGGAGUUGCCAAAGAGAGGAAAUCAAGCAUUUGUUUCUGUCAUGAAUAAAACAGAUUCUAGCUAAAGAAAACAUAUGACUCUAGGGAUGGGACAAUUUCAGGACUUCAGUGUAAUUGGCCCUGAAUAAUGCAUUUAAAGUCCUCUAAUUGAUUGCUUCAUUUCUUGAGAUAAAGCAAAUCUUUUGAAGCUGU
rnacentral:lncRNA from 1 species